GUUAAAAGGAAGAGAUGCUUUUGGCAGCCGCAGGGUCCUCCAGUUCCUCCUGCUUGCUUUCUGUGUCCUGACUGAAAAUCACAGACUGCCCUGACCUCUGUGGCUCAGCCAGCUGCAGGUUUUUCCCUACAGGCUUGAACCAGAGCCUAGAACAUUCCCAGGCACUGAUAAAUACCGAAAGCCAGCCCAGGCCCUGAGCCAAAAUCCUUAAACCCUCACAUAAACUCCAUACCCUGACCCCCUUGCCGAGGACACACCUGGCUGUAGAACACGCCUUUUCUCUGAUGCCCAUUGCAAGGACACUGAAGCCCACCCUGCACCGAAGACCCCCUGGAAAAUGCUUUGGACUCAUCCCCCUGGCAUUUAGGGUUCCUUUCUUUGGAAUCCCAACCAGCCCCAUCUGGGGACGGUUCAGGGCACUCCCUUGUGGGAACUCCUCUGCUGCUGCUUUUGGGGUGACUGUAGCUGUGGGUUCAGUGGGAUGAAACAGAAUCUUCUCACUAUUCACAACAGCAAAGACAUGGAAUCAGCCUAAAUCCAUCAACGGUAGACUGGAUAAAGAAAAUGUAGUACAUAUACACCACGGAGUACUCUGCAGCCAUAAAAAAGAAUGAGAUCA
rnacentral:lncRNA from 10 species